AACGAACGCUGGCGGCGUGGAUAAGACAUGCAAGUCGGACGCUGAUUGCCGGGUAGCAAUAUUCGGCGGUCGGAGUGGCGAAAGGGUGCGUAACACGUGGGCAAUCUGCCGUGAAGUCGGGGAUAACUUGCUGAAAGGCGAGCUAAUACCGGAUGUGGUUUUGGGAGGGCAUCUUUCUGGAACCAAAGUUGGGGACCGCAAGGCCUGACGCUUCAUGAUGAGCCCGCGGCCUAUCAGCUAGUUGGUGAGGUAAUGGCUCACCAAGGCAAAGACGGGUAGCUGGUCUGAGAGGACGACCAGCCACACUGGAACUGAGACACGGUCCAGACACCUACGGGUGGCAGCAGUCGAGAAUUUUUCACAAUGGGCGAAAGCCUGAUGGAGCGACGCCGCGUGGGGGAUGAAUGGCUUCGGCCCGUAAACCCCUGUCAUUUGCGAACAAACCUUUCCACCCAACACGUGGAGAGCUGAUUGUAGCGAAAGAGGAAGGGACGGCUAACU
rnacentral:rRNA from 1 species